rnacentral:rRNA from 1 species
UGAGGAAUAUUGGGCAAUGCCCGAAAGGGUGACCCAGCAACGCCGCGUGGAGGAUGAAGGUCGUAAGAUUGUAAACUCCUGUUAGAGGGGAAGAAUAACUAAGUUUGGAGCUUAGUAUGACUGUACCCUCAGAGAAAACCCCGGCUAACUACGUGCCAGCAGCCGCGGUAAUACGUAGGGGGCAAGCGUUGUCCGGAUUUACUGGGUGUAAAGGGCGCGCAGGCGGAAUGGAAAGUCAGUGGUGAAAUCCUACAGCUUAACUGUAGAACUGCCUUUGAUACUUUCAUUCUUGAGUUCGGGAGAGAGAGACGGAAUUCCAGGUGUAGUGGUGAAAUACGUAGAUAUCUGGAAGAACACCAGUUGCGAAGGCGGUCUCUUGGUCCGACACUGACGCUGAGGCGCGAAAGCGUGGGGAGCAAACA